rnacentral:rRNA from 1 species
GACGAACGCUGGCGGCGUGCUUAACACAUGCAAGUCGAACGGAAAGGCCUGCUUUCCCUUGUGGAUUGCGGGUACUCGAGUGGCGAACGGGUGAGUAACACGUGAGUGAUCUGCCCCCAACUUGGGUAUAAGCCUGGGAAACUGGGUCUAAUUCCCGAUAGGACUGCAGGGUGGUGCCUGUGGUGGAAAACGAUUUUCUAGUGGUUGGGGAUGAGCUCGCGGCCUAUCAGCUUGUUGGUGGGGUAAUGGCCUACCAAGGCGGCGACGGGUAGCCGGCCUGAGAGGGUGGACGGCCACAUUGGGACUGAGAUACGGCCUAGACUCCUACGGGAGGCAGCAGUGGGGAAUAUUGCACAAUGGGCGGAAGCCUGAUGCAGCGACGCCGCGUGGGGGAUGACGGCCUUCGGGUUGUAAACUCCUUUCGACCGCGAGGAAGCCACCUGGUUGGAAGGGUGGUGACGGUAGUGGUAGAAGAAGCACCGGCUAACUACGUG